rnacentral:lncRNA from 1 species
UACGUGAGUACACUACACUACACCGCUUGCUUUCUGGUUAUUACUGUACUUGCUAGCUAGUACGAUACGAGUACCAUUUAAUACGUACGUAAUAAUACUCGUCCAUCUAUUCCGUGCAUGAUCUUGUAUAUAUAUCAUCUGUUUGUGAGUGAGUUUAUUGUUGCAAAAUACUGGAUAUCCUGAUGAUAUGAUCUUGGGUUGCCGUACUAAUUAAACAAUUAAUCAGCUUGUUGCUAGAUAGUAUUAUCUCGUUUUUCUACUGUAAUUGAUCUGUUAAUAGUUCUCGCCUGGGCCGGCGCGCUAUCGUUGUCGCGGCCAGGCUACUUCUUCUGUGUUCCGAUUUCUAUAGCUCAUUUGUCAACAAAAAAAAAAUCUUGCUUGGGUUGCGAAAAGUCCUCCAUCCGUUGCUUUGCUUCUCUGAUUCGACAGCCGCCGGCCCGUUCUUUCCAGAAUUGCUGCCGCCGCACGACUGUUCUGUGUGGGGGCACCGCACGUCUUUGUUUAUAAAGCCGCGGUGCACAUGCAUGUCCAGUACCAGCUCAACCCAAAUUGAUGAAGAAGAAGCCUCUCGACGCACACCAUGACGUACGUGUGGAGUUGACGAGUCCAGAAACCCUUCCAAGGCACCUACCGUACGUCUUUCCAAUCCAGCGAUCGAGUGUAUAUAUACGUAAGGCCAGUUGAAACGUAUAGAAAGUGAUCAAGGCCGGGUUUCCUUUGUACUUUUGUAGCGUUGCGGAACUGUUAGACAGUUGAGUAUUGUAUUUCCCGGUGUGUAGCUAGUGUAGUACGUGCGCGAGUCAAUCUCUACCACCCUUUUAAUUUUUUUUAGGAACUCUACCUCCCUUUUAAUUCCUCCUUUUCCCACGCAAAGCAUGCUUAUCAUCGGUUACUAUGGUCCAAAUGACGCGGGUCAUCCAGCCAGAAUGCAUGCUUUUUAUAAGAAAAUAACAAAGGCAAAAAGAGAUCGUGGCGGAGAAAGAUGUAGUAUAUAUAUAGAGACGAAAAACAUGAAAAGGGUGGCUGAACCUC